AUUGAACGCUGGCGGCAGGCCUAACACAUGCAAGUCGAGCGGGGUUUUCGGACCUAGCGGCGGACGGGUGAGUAAUGCGUAGGAAGCUACCCGAUAGAGGGGGAUACCAGUUAGAAACGACUGUUAAUACCGCAUAAUGUCUACGGACCAAAGUGUGGGACCUUCGGGCCACAUGCUAUCGGAUGCGCCUACGUGGGAUUAGCUAGUUGGUGGGGUAAUGGCUCACCAAGGCGACGAUCCCUAGCUGGUUUGAGAGGAUGAUCAGCCACACUGGAACUGAGACACGGUCCAGACUCCUACGGGAGGCAGCAGUGGGGAAUAUUGGACAAUGGGCGCAAGCCUGAUCCAGCCAUGCCGCGUGUGUGAAGAAGGCCUUCGGGUUGUAAAGCACUUUCAGUAGGGAGGAAGGGUGUUGUGUUAAUAGCACAGCAUUUUGACGUUACCUACAGAAGAAGCACCGGCUAACUCUGUGCCAGCCGCCGCCGUAAGAC
rnacentral:rRNA from 1 species